GAGGCGGAGAAACGAAGUGGGAAAACAGAUUUAAACCAAGGUUGAAGCCGGGGUUCUGUUUGCUGCUCCUGUGAGAAAACGUUGUUGCCGGGGAGGUGUAGCUGCUGAAACAAACUAAGGAGCUGCUUUUUCUGGUCGAACGUGAGUGAGACUGGAGAUUGAACACACCCGCUGCGCGAGGGUUUACUGGUUCAGCUGCUGCAGCCUGGACAGAAACAUCAGCUCUCACCUGACACCUCUCACGGAGUCACCACUUCGUCCACGAUCACAGAGAUUCUUUGUACAAUGAAGAAGUUCUGUGAGACCAGGACAGAGGCCUCCAGGAUUCAAACUUGAACCAUCAAAUCACAGAAGAGACAGAUGUGAAGACAUUUCCAGAAGGUCUUCAGCUGCUGUCGUCAUCUUCCCCUGCAGAGACAAGAACACGUUAAUCACGGAAACUGAUCAGUAAAUGCAUUUUUCCUCUCCUCUCUAAACUGUACUUAUUCAUUUUUAAUACCUACAAUUUACAAUGAUUUAAACUAAACUUAACUCAGUAUCACAAAUUUUUGUGUUUUUUUGUAAUUAUUACAGUCACUGUAAUGAAUACUUCUGAAACUGUAUAUAAGAAGAACUUAUUGUAAUUCUGACUUUAUUUCCCCAUUUUUUUGACACCUUACUGUGACAAUUUUUGAUGCCUGACUAUACUAUGAUAUUUUGUCACAUUUUUACUGCCUUACUAUACUAUGACAUAUUUGAUGUUUUUUGGCACUUUGCUGUAUUGUGACAUUUUUUUGUGAUUUUUGACACCUUACUUUACUGUGACAUGUGACAUAUGUUUUUCAUGCCUUACUAUACUGUGACUUUAUUCUUUUCCUUUUUUUUUGGCUUUACAUUUUUUUUUUGACAUUUUUUGAUGUUUUUUAUGCCUUACUAUACUAUGACUUUUUUUUUUUUUUUAAUUUUUAUGACACCUUACUAUACUAUAACAUGUUUAAACGUUUUUUGAUGUUUUUGAUGUUUUUUGAUGCCUUACUGUACUAUGACAUUUUUUGACUGUUUUUGAUGCCUUACUAUAUUAUGAUAUACGGCUUAAUUAUGUUAAAGCAGCCAUCUUACCUUUGUUUUCCACAGACAAACACAUAUUCACAGAGACUUCUAGAUUUUGUCAUUUUGUUAUUUUAUUUCAAACAUUUUUAUAUGUUAUAUAUUAUCUUGUUUUACACCUUGUCUUGUUUAUAUUUUUCCUUUUUCUAUUUUUGCCGCUGCAACACCUUAUUUCCCUGCUGUAAGGCAAAUUAAGGAUUAUCUUAUGCUUUCUCAAAUAAAUACUUCUGAACACUGAA